AGGGAAGAAGCGAAAGUGACGGUACCUGCAGAAGAAGCGCCGGCUAACUACGUGCCAGCAGCCGCGGUAAUACGUAGGGCGCAAGCGUUAUCCGGAUUUAUUGGGCGUAAAGAGCUCGUAGGCGGUUUGUCGCGUCUGCCGUGAAAGUCCGAGGCUCAACCUCGGAUCUGCGGUGGGUACGGGCAGACUAGAGUGAUGUAGGGGAGACUGGAAUUCCUGGUGUAGCGGUGAAAUGCGCAGAUAUCAGGAGGAACACCGAUGGCGAAGGCAGGUCUCUGGGCAUUUACUGACGCUGAGGAGCGAAAGCAUGGGGAGCGAACAGGAUUAGAUACCCUGGUAGUCCAUGCCGUAAACGUUGGGCACUAGGUGUGGGGGACAUUCCACGUUUUCCGCGCCGUAGCUAACGCAUUAAGUGCCCCGCCUGGGGAGUACGGCCGCAAGGCUAAAACUCAAAGGAAUUGACGGGGGCCCGCACAAGCGGCGGAGCAUGCGGAUUAAUUCGAUGCAACGCGAAGAACCUUACCAAGGCUUGACAUGUGCCAGACCGCUCCAGAGAUGGGGUUUCCCUUCGGGGCUGGUUCACAGGUGGUGCAUGGUUGUCGUCAGCUCGUGUCGUGAGAUGUUGGGUUAAGUCCCGCAACGAGCGCAACCCUCGUUCCAUGUUGCCAGCACGUAGUGGUGGGGACUCAUGGGAGACUGCCGGGGUCAACUCGGAGGAAGGUGGGGAUGACGUCAAAUCAUCAUGCCCCUUAUGUCUUGGGCUUCACGCAUGCUACAAUGGCCGGUACAAUGGGUUGCGAUACUGUGAGGUGGAGCUAAUCCCUAAAAGCCGGUCUCAGUUCGGAUUGGGGUCUGCAACUCGACCCCAUGAAGUCGGAGUCGCUAGUAAUCGCAGAUCAGCAACGCUGCGGUGAAUACGUUCCCGGGCCUUGUACACACCGCCCGUCAAGUCACGAAAGUUGGUAACACCCGAAGCCGAUGGCCUAACCACCUUGUGUGGGGGGAGUCGUCGAAGGUGAACGG
rnacentral:rRNA from 1 species